rnacentral:misc_RNA from 1 species
GAUGAAGAACGCAGCGAAAUGCGAUAAGUAGUGUGAAUUGCAGAAUUCAGUGAAUCAUCGAAUCUUUGAACGCACAUUGCGCCCUUUGGUAUUCCAAAGGGCAUGCCUGUUCGAGCGUCAUUUGUACCCUCAAGCUUUGCUUGGUGUUGGGCGUCUUGUCUCUAGCUUUGCUGGAGACUCGCCUUAAAGUAAUUGGCAGCCGGCCUACUGGUUUCGGAGCGCAGCACAAGUCGCACUCUCUAUCAGCAAAGGUCUAGCAUCCAUUAAGCCUUUUUUUCAACUUUUGACCUCGAAUCAGGUAGGGAUACCCGCUGAACUUAAGCAUAUCAAUAAGCGGAGGA